rnacentral:lncRNA from 1 species
GUUGAGCGGAUCAGAGCUGCACUAAGGCAACCACCACCGAAUCAAUAACCAUCGAAAGUCCAAAGAUCUGCUAUCAAGCAUCAGAUCAGUCCUGAUCCGUGCCGUCAUCAUAUGCGUUCGCAACGAUAUCAAACAGGCGAGAUCAGAUUGCCCGUGCACCAUGGCAGCCGCCGCAACAAUCCAUACGCUGAGAGUCCCAUGCCAAGCCCUCGGGCCGUGGUAGAUCCUGGCCGCCAUGCGCGCGCCAUCGGGAGGGACGGGACGCACGUAGCUGACAAACACGAGUGUGUAGCUGAUCGAUCUCCGUGGUGACGAACUGACGUACACGAGCUCUCACACGCGUGCGUCAUCUCCGGGAAGGACGAGCGUGUGCCUGCAACGCAGCACCGUCGGGCUCCAAGAUCGAGGGUCAAGAGAAGAAGGGACUUGGCAUGAGAGGAGAUGAAGGAGGCCUAGCAGCCCCGUCGCCGCCGACCGGCUGGCCGGCCAGCCGACGGCGGCGUCGAGGAUGGAACGAUGGAGAGGCUUGUUAGGUUUGUUUCUUACUCGGUUUAAAC